UUCCUACGGGACGCAGCAGUGGGGAAUAUUGCACAAUGGGGGAAACCCUGAUGCAGCGAUGCCGCGUGGAGGAAGAAGGUUUUCGGAUUGUAAACUCCUUUUCUCAGGGACGAUAAUGACGGUACCUGAAGAAAAAGCUCCGGCUAACUACGUGCCAGCAGCCGCGGUAAUACGGAGGAUGCGAGCGUUAUCCGGAUUUAUUGGGUUUAAAGGGUGCGCAGGCGGAGGUGCAAGUCAGCGGUCAAAUUGCGGGGCUCAACCCCGUACUGCCGUUGAAACUGCAUCCCUUGAGUGCGCGAGAAGUA
rnacentral:rRNA from 1 species